ensembl:snoRNA
GUGCACAGUGAACACCCAAGGAUGCUAAUGUGGCUCUCCCUGGUCUCUUACAUCUGUGCCACAGUAACUCUGAUCUGUACCUCUGCAUUAGGAGGUUCUGAUCCUCCCCUAUAUGUAUUCAACAGAUCAGAACACUU